AGCUUUGCGCAGUGGCAGUAUCGUAGCCUAUGAGGUUAAACUGAGGUGUGAUUAUUGCUAGUUGAAAACUUUACCCAAUACCCUGCUACACUGGCUUGAAAGAGUUGGUGUUUGCAAUUUUUGUCAGUCUCUGCAGAGA
rnacentral:snRNA from 1 species